CAGCAGCCGCGGGAAUACGUAGGUGGCAAGCGUUGUCCGGAUUUAUUGGGCGUAAAGCGAGCGCAGGCGGUUCCUUAAGUCUGAUGUGAAAGCCCACGGCUCAACCCAGAGUCUGCAUGGGAAACUGUCGGGCUUGAGUAUGGGAGAGGUGAGUGGAAUUUCCGGUGUAGCGGUGAAAUGCGUAGAUAUCGGAAGGAACACCUGUGGCGAAAGCGGCUCACUGGACCAUAACUGACGCUGAGGCACGAAAGCUAGGGGAGCAAACAGGAUUAGAUACCCCAGUAGUCCCUGUCUCUUAUAC
rnacentral:rRNA from 1 species